rnacentral:rRNA from 1 species
GGACAAGUGAAUAAGUGCACAUGGUGGAUGCCUUGGCGAUUACAGGCGAUGAAGGACGUAGAAGUCUGCGAUAAGCUUCGGGGAGCUGACAAACGAGCAUUGAUCCGAAGAUUUCCGAAUGGGGAAACCCGGCCUUAUAGGUCAUCACUCACUGAAUACAUAGGUGUGUGAAGCGAACGCGGCGAACUGAAACAUCUAAGUAGCUGCAGGAAAAGAAAUCAACCGAGAUUCCCAAAGUAGUGGCGAGCGAAAUGGGAAGAGCCUGCAUAUGAUAGUCGGACUGGUAGUGGAAGCCUCUGGAAAUAGGCGCCAUAGUGGGUGAUAGCCCCGUACGCGAAAUCAGACCGGUGGUACUAAGUAUGCGACAAGUAGGGCGGGACACGAGAAAUCCUGUCUGAAUAUGGGGGGACCAUCCUCCAAGGCUAAAUACUCGUAAUCGACCGAUAGUGAACCAGUACCGUGAGGGAAAGGCGAAAAGAACCCCGGGAGGGGAGUGAAAUAGAUCCUGAAACCGUGUGCAUACAAACAGUCGGAGCGGACUUGUUCCGUGACGGCGUACCUUUUGUAUAAUGGGUCAGCGACUUACAUUCAGUAGCGAGGUUAACCAAAUAGGGGAGCCGCAGAGAAAUCGAGUCCGAACAGGGCGUUAGUUGCUGGGUGUAGACCCGAAACCAAGUGAUCUAUCCAUGGCCAGGUUGAAGGUGCGGUAACACGCACUGGAGGACCGAACCCACUAAUGUUGAAAAAUUAGGGGAUGAGCUGUGGAUAGGGGUGAAAGGCUAAACAAACUUGGAAAUAGCUGGUUCUCUCCGAAAACUAUUUAGGUAGUGCCUCAAGUAUCACCAUCGGGGGUAGAGCACUGUUAUGGCUAGGGGGUCAUCGCGACUUACCAAACCAUUGCAAACUCCGAAUACCGAUGAGUGCGAGCUUGGGAGACAGACAUCGGGUGCUAACGUCCGGUGUCAAGAGGGAAACAACCCAGACCGCCAGCUAAGGUCCCAAAGAUUGGCUAAGUGGAAAACGAAGUGGGAAGGCUAAAACAGUCAGGAUGUUGGCUUAGAAGCAGCCAUCAUUUAAAGAAAGCGUAAUAGCUCACUGAUCGAGUCGUCCUGCGCGGAAGAUGUAACGGGGCUAAGCCAGUCACCGAAGCUGCGGAUAU